rnacentral:rRNA from 1 species
UACGUAGGGCGCAAGCGUUGUCCGGAAUUAUUGGGCGUAAAGAGUGCGUAGGUGGUUCUCUAAGUUUGGUGUGAAAUCUCCCGGCUCAACUGGGAGGGUGCGCCGAAAACUGGAGGACUAGAGUGUGGGAGAGGAAAGCGGAAUUCCUGGUGUAGCGGUGAAAUGCGUAGAUAUCAGGAGGAACACCUGCGGUGUAGACGGCUUUCUGGACCACUACUGACACUGAGGCACGAAAGCGUGGGGAGCAAACAGG